UUGGCUGCUAUCCGCUCUUUGGUCGGAAUGUUGUCUCUUUGACAUAUUCCCCAUUUCAAUUCUUAAUUUUAUUCAACUGACAAGAAAAUAGGUGAUGAAGGAAUUUUUUGCUCAGCAAAAAGCGCUUCCACGCUUUGGCAAAAGACGGUACUACAUCACUUGCAAGUGUUCACAAAUAUGUGUUGGAUUCUUUAUUAUCUAUUAAACAAGCAAAUUGAAAUAGUAAAAUAAAAACUCCGAGGAUAAUUCAAAAUAAUUUUCCUAAACGGAACGUCCUUUAUCAAAUGGUAAAAUCAAAAGCUCAAACACAUCAAACCAAUGGAAAAUAGCUGUCAUCUUCCUGACUUCGUAGAGACAUUCCCUUAUUUGCAUCUAAACAAUUUCAUCUUCUGUUCUGAAUCACAUAGCUUCUUCUUUUAACAAACUUUAUAAGCAUAAUGACGAUUGGAAGAUUCUUUAAAUAGAUAUAAGAAGAUGUGGUAUGCAUGCCUAGGACUAUUGUAAAAAACAUUCAAACGGGAAAAACAGCGGUUUCCUGACUUAAGACAGGCA
rnacentral:lncRNA from 1 species